GACGAACGCUGGCGGCGCGCUUAACACAUGCAAGUCGAGCGAGAACCGGGGCUUCGGCCCUGGGGACAGCGGCGAACGGGUGAGUAACACGUGGGUAAUCUGCCCUCGGCAUCGGGAUAGCCCGGGGAAACCCGGAUUAAUACCGAAUAGCCUCCGGAGCCUUCGGGCGCCGGAGAAAAGGUAGCUUCGGCCUCUGGCCGAGGAUGAGCCCGCGGCGGAUUAGCUUGUUGUGGGGGUAACGGCCCACCAGGGCGACGAUCCGUAGCUGGUCUGAGAGGACGAUCAGCCACACUGGGACUGAGACACGGCCCAGACUCCUACGGGAGGCAGCAGUGGGGAAUCUUGCGCUAAUGCGGGAAACCGUGACGCAGCGACGCCGCGUGGGGGAAGAAGGCCUUCGGGUUGUAAACCUCUUUCAGGAGGGACGAAGCUACUCGGGUGAAUAGCCCAGAGGGUGACGGUACCUCCAGAAGAAGCCCCGGCUAACUACGUGCCAGCCGCCGCAGUAACAC
rnacentral:rRNA from 1 species